GAAAACACAAGCUUGACUGUCACAAUUUAAAAAUAAAAAAAUAUGGGAAAAGUGCGGGUGUGGAACCCUAUUACCGGGAAAAGAGUGUGUGUU